rnacentral:rRNA from 1 species
UCCUCCAAGGCUAAAUACUCCUGAUUGACCGAUAGUGAACCAGUACUGUGAAGGAAAGGCGAAAAGAACCCCGGUGAGGGGAGUGAAAUAGAACCUGAAACCUUGUACGUACAAGCAGUGGGAGCCCGAAAGGGUGACUGCGUACCUUUUGUAUAAUGGGUCAGCGACUUAUAUUUUGUAGCGAGGUUAACCGAAUAGGGGAGCCGAAGGGAAACCGAGUCUUAACUGGGCGACUAGUUGCAAGGUAUAGACCCGAAA